CUCACUCUACUACCCCUCAUGACCCUAAUUAAUCCCUAAUUAACGAGCUAAUUAACUAAUUGCAGGUGUUGUGUGGGACCAGGCCUCACUCUACUACCCCUCAUGACCCUAAUUAGUCCCUAAUUAACGAGCUAAUUAACUAAUUGCAGGUGUUCCUAUGCAGCACUCCUUCCCCUACAGACCCUACUGACCCUAAUUAGCCCCUAAUUAACGAGCUAAUUAACUAAUUGCAGGUGUUCCUGUGCGGCCCGGCCCCCCAUUGGCUGUUGCUCUCAUCCCGUGGGGCGCUGCGCCUUCACCCCAUGGCCAUCGACGGCCCCAUAGAUUCCUUCGCCCCCUUCCACAACGUCAACUGCCCCAAAGGCUUCCUCUACUUCAACAGACAGGGUGAGCUCCGGAUCAGCGUCCUUCCCGCUGCUCUCUCCUCUGGUUAAUUAGGUUCCCAUUAAUUAAUUAACACUGGUGUUAAUUGGGUUCUAUAGGGUGAGCUCUGGAUCAGCGUCCUUCCCGCUGCUCUCUCCUCUGGUUAAUUAGGUUCCCAUUAAUUAAUUAACAUUGGUGUUAAUUGGGUUC